rnacentral:rRNA from 1 species
AAGGUUUUGAAUACUUUAUAAGCUGAGAAGUUAAAAGGAUUUACCUCCGCCUAGGGAUGAGCUUAAGUCUGAUUAGUAAGUUGGUGGGGUAAUGGCUUACCAAUACCGCGAUCGGUAGUUGGUCUGAGAGGAUGGCCAGCCGCAUUGGGACUGAGACACGGCCCAGACUUCUACGGAAGGCAGCAGUGAGGAAUUUUCCGCAAUUGGGCCGAAAAGGCCUGACGGACCAAUGCCGCUUGAAGGAUGAAGGCCUGCGGGUUGUAAACUUCUUUUCUUAGCAGAAGAUAACGACGGUAUCUAAGGAAUAAGCAUCGGCUAACCCUGUGCCAGCAGCCGCGGUAAUACAGGGGAUGCAAGCGUUAUCCGGAAUGAUUGGGCGUAAAGGGUCUGUCACGGCGGUUUAAAAAGUCUCGUGUUAAAACCCAAGGCUUAACCUUGGAUCGGCAUUGGAAACUUUGA